AUUGAACGCUGGCGGCAGGCCUAACACAUGCAAGUCGAACGGUAGCACAGAGAGCUUGCUCUCGUGUGACGAGUGGCGGACGGGUGAGUAAUGUCUGGGAAACUGCCCGAUGGGGGGGGAAAACUUCUGGAAACGGGAGCUAAUACCGCAUAAUUUCGCAAGACCACAGAGGGGGACAGUCAGGCCUCUUGUCAUCGGCAGUGCCCAGGUGGGAUUAGUUAGUUGGUGAGGUAAUGGCUCACCAAGGCGACGAUCCCUAGCUGGUCUGAGAGGCUGAACAGCCACACUGGAACUGAGACACGGUCCAGACUCCUACGGGAGGCAGCAGUGGGGAAUAUUGCACAAUGGGCGCAAGCCUGAUGCAGCCAUGCCGCGUGUGUGAAGAAGGUCUUCGGGUUGUAAAGCACUUUCAGCGGGGAGGAAGGCAAUACGGUGAAUAACUGUGUUGAUUGACGUUACCCGCAGAAGAAGCCCCGGCUAACUCCGUG
rnacentral:rRNA from 1 species